rnacentral:rRNA from 1 species
AGAGUUUGAUCCUGGCUCAGGAUGAACGCUGGCGGCGUGCUUAACACAUGCAAGUCGAACGAGCCUUCGGGUUAGUGGCGGACGGGUGAGUAACGCGUGAGAAUCUGCCCUCAGGAGGGGGAUAACGGUUGGAAACGACCGCUAAUACCCCAUAUGCCGAUAGGUGAAAUGAAUUUCGCCUGAGGAUGAGCUCGCGUCUGAUUAGCUAGUUGGUGAGGUAAUGGCUCACCAAGGCUUCGAUCAGUAGCUGGUCUGAGAGGAUGAUCAGCCACACUGGGACUGAGACACGGCCCAGACUCCUACGGGAGGCAGCAGUGGGGAAUUUUCCGCAAUGGGCGAAAGCCUGACGGAGCAACGCCGCGUGAGGGACGAAGGCCUCUGGGCUGUAAACCUCUUUUCUCAAGGAAGAAGAUAUGACGGUACUUGAGGAAUAAGCCACGGCUAAUUCCGUGCCAGCAGCCGCGGUAAUACGGGAGUGGCAAGCGUUAUCCGGAAUUAUUGGGCGUAAAGCGUCCGCAGGCGGCUUAUCAAGUCUGCUGUUAAAACGUGGAGCUUAACUCCAUCAUGGCAGUGGAAACUGAUAGGCUUGAGUAUGGUAGGGGCAGAGGGAGUUCCCGGUGUAGCGGUGAAAUGCGUAGAUAUCGGGAAGAACACCAGUGGCGAAGGCGCUCUGCUGGGCCAUCACUGACGCUCAUGGACGAAAGCCAGGGGAGCGAAAGGGAUUAGAUACCCCUGUAGUCCUGGCCGUAAACGAUGAACACUAGGUGUCGGGGGAAUCGACCCCCUCGGUGUCGUAGCCAACGCGUUAAGUGUUCCGCCUGGGGAGUACGCACGCAAGUGUGAAACUCAAAGGAAUUGACGGGGGCCCGCACAAGCGGUGGAGUAUGUGGUUUAAUUCGAUGCAACGCGAAGAACCUUACCAGGGUUUGACAUCCUGCGAAUCUCUUGGAAACAGGAGAGUGCCUUCGGGAACGCAGUGACAGGUGGUGCAUGGCUGUCGUCAGCUCGUGUCGUGAGAUGUUGGGUUAAGUCCCGCAACGAGCGCAACCCACGUCUUUAGUUGCCAGCAUUUAGUUGGGCACUCUAGAGAGACUGCCGGUGAUAAACCGGAGGAAGGUGUGGAUGACGUCAAGUCAUCAUGCCCCUUACAUCCUGGGCUACACACGUACUACAAUGCUACGGACAAAGGGCAGCAAGUUCGCGAGGACAAGCAAAUCCCAUAAACCGUGGCUCAGUUCAGAUCGUAGGCUGCAACUCGCCUACGUGAAGGCGGAAUCGCUAGUAAUCGCAGGUCAGCAUACUGCGGUGAAUACGUUCCCGGGCCUUGUACACACCGCCCGUCACACCAUGGAAGUUGGCCACGCCCGAAGCCGUUACUCCAACCCUUGUGGAGGAGGACGUCGAAGGUGGGGCUGAUGACUGGGGUGAAGUCGUAACAAGGUAACC